UACGUAGGGUGCGAGCGUUGUCCGGAAUUAUUGGGCGUAAAGAGCUUGUAGGCGGUUUGUCGCGUCUGCUGUGAAAAUCCGGGGCUUAACCCCGGACCUGCAGUGGGUACGGGCAGACUAGAGUGUGGUAGGGGAGACUGGAAUUCCUGGUGUAGCGGUGAAAUGCGCAGAUAUCAGGAGGAACACCGAUGGCGAAGGCAGGUCUCUGGGCCACUACUGACGCUGAGAAGCGAAAGCAUGGGGAGCGAACAGG
rnacentral:rRNA from 1 species